rnacentral:tRNA from 1 species
GGGCCGGUCGUCUAGUCUGGUCUAGGAUGACUGCCUUACACGCAGUAGGUCAAAGGUUCGAAUCCUUUCCGGCCCA